CAGCAGCCACGGUAAUACGGAGGGUGCAUGCGUUAAUCGGAAUUACUGGGCGUAAAGCGCACGCAGGCGGUCUGACAAGUCAGAUGUGAAAUCCCCGGGCUUAACCUGGGAACUGCAUUUGAAACUGUCAGGCUGGAGUCUUGUAGAGGGGGGUAGAAUUCCAGGUGUAGCGGUGAAAUGCGUAGAGAUCUGGAGGAAUACCGGUGGCGAAGGCGGCCCCCUGGACAAAGACUGACGCUCAGGUGCGAAAGCGUGGGGAGCAAACAGGAUUAGAUACCCCGGUAGUCCCUGUCUCUUAUAC
rnacentral:rRNA from 1 species